UUGGUUAAGUUAGAAAGGGCGCACGGUGGAUGCCUUGGCACUAGGAGCCGAAGAAGGACGGGACUAACACCGAUAUGCUUUGGGGAGCUGUACGUAAGCGUUGAUCCAGAGAUUUCCGAAUGGGGGAACCCACUAUCUUUAGUCGGAUAGUAUCCUUACGUGAAUACAUAGCGUGAGGAAGGCAGACCCAGGGAACUGAAACAUCUAAGUACCUGGAGGAAGAGAAAGAAAAAUCGAUUUCCUGAGUAGCGGCGAGCGAAACGGAAAGAGCCCAAACCAAGAAGCUUGCUUCUUGGGGUUGUAGGACACUCUAUACGGAGUUACAAAAGAAAGUUAUAAAUGAAGCGGUCUGGAAAGGCCCGCCAAAGACGGUAACAGCCCGGUAGUUGAAAUAGCUUUCCCUCCAGAGUGGAUCCUGAGUACGGCGGAACACGUGAAAUUCCGUCGGAAUCCGGGAGGACCAUCUCCCAAGGCUAAAUACUCCCUAGUGACCGAUAGUGAACCAGUACCGUGAGGGAAAGGUGAAAAGCACCCCGGAAGGGGAGUGAAACAGUUCCUGAAACCGUGUGCCUACAAGUAGUUAGAGCCCGUUAAUGGGUGAUAGCGUGCCUUUUGUAGAAUGAACCGGCGAGUUACGAUUUGUUGCAAGGUUAAGCGGAAAAAGCGGAGCCGUAGCGAAAGCGAGUCUGAAUAGGGCGCAUAAGUAACAGGUCGUAGACCCGAAACCAGGUGAUCUACCCAUGUCCAGGAUGAAGGUAAGGUAAUACUUACUGGAGGUCCGAACCCACGCACGUUGAAAAGUGCGGGGAUGAGGUGUGGGUAGCGGAGAAAUUCCAAUCGAACUUGGAGAUAGCUGGUUCUCUCCGAAAUAGCUUUAGGGCUAGCCUCGAGGUAAAGAGUCAUGGAGGUAGAGCACUGUUUGGACUAGGGGCCCUUCUCGGGUUACCGAAUUCAGAUAAACUCCGAAUGCCAUGUACUUAUACUCGGGAGUCAGACUGCGAGUGAUAAGAUCCGUAGUCGAAAGGGAAACAGCCCAGACCACCAGUUAAGGUCCCCAAAUAUAUGUUAAGUGGAAAAGGAUGUGGGGUUGCUUAGACAACCAGGAUGUUGGCUUAGAAGCAGCCACCAUUGAAAGAGUGCGUAAUAGCUCACUGGUCGAGUGACCCCGCGCCGAAAAUGUACCGGGGCUAAACAUAUUACCGAAACUGUGGAUGAAC
rnacentral:rRNA from 1 species